rnacentral:tRNA from 1 species
GUGGUAGUAGCUCAGUUGGUUAGAGCGCCCGGCUCAUAACCGGUAGGUCUGGGGUUCGAGUCCCUGAUGGCUACCACA